AUGAACGCUGGCGGCGUGCCUCAUCCCUGCCAGUCGAGCGAACAGACGAGGAGCUUGCUCCUCUGACGUUAGCGGCGGACGGGUGAGUAACACGUGGAUAACCUACCUAUAAGACUGGGAUAACUUCGGGAAACCGGAGCUAAUACCGGAUAAUAUAUUGAACCGCAUGGUUCAAUAGUGAAAGACGGUUUUGCUGUCACUUAUAGAUGGAUCCGCGCCGCAUUAGCUAGUUGGUAAGGUAACGGCUUACCAAGGCAACGAUGCGUAGCCGACCUGAGAGGGUGAUCGGCCACACUGGAACUGAGACACGGUCCAGACUCCUACGGGAGGCAGCAGUAGGGAAUCUUCCGCAAUGGGCGAAAGCCUGACGGAGCAACGCCGCGUGAGUGAUGAAGGUCUGCGGAUCGUAAAACUCUGUUAUUAGGGAAGAACAAAUGUGUAAGUAACUAUGCACGUCUUGACGGUACCUAAUCAGAAAGCCACGGCUAACUACGU
rnacentral:rRNA from 1 species